UCUCAGGUGUGUGACGAGUGAGGUCACUGGGGGUGUUGUUACGAAUGAGGUGACUGUGGGGGGUGUUGUUACGAGUGAGGUGACUGGGGGGUGUUGUUACGAGUGAGGUGACUGGGGGCUGUUGCUACAAGUGAGGUGACGGGGAGGUUUUGUUACGAGUGAGGUGACGGCGGUGUUGUUACGAGUGAGGUGACGGGGAGGUUUUGUUACGAGUAAGGUGACGAAAGUAACAGGAUAAGUGAGAUCACUACCAAAGAA